rnacentral:misc_RNA from 1 species
UCCGGUUUGUCACCGGCAGUCUCCUUAGAGUUCCCGACCGUGUCGCUGGCAACUAAGGACAAGGGUUGCGCUCGUUACGGGACUUAACCCAACAUUUCACAACACGAGCUGACGACAGCCAUGCAGCACCUGUCACUGCGCUCCCGAAGGCACCAAGGUGUCUCCACCAAGUUCGCAGGAUGUCAAGGGGUGGUAAGGUUUUUCGCGUUGCAUCGAAUUAAACCACAUGCUCCACCGCUUGUGCGGGCCCCCGUCAAUUCAUUUGAGUUUUAACCUUGCGGCCGUACUCCCCAGGCGGUCUACUUAAUGCGUUAGCUGCGCCACAAGAGAUACAAGAUCCCCAACGGCUAGUAGACAGCGUUUACAGCGUGGACUAC